AGGGAGUAUAAUUGUGGGUAGAGCAGAAAUGCUAAUACUACCUGCAUGGCAGGAAAAACUAACACGUAGCCAUGGGACAUAUAAACAUCGUCGUCCACAAAUUCAUAAAUUGAGAAUGAGCACGAGUCCAUGGCAGGAAGGAGAGUGCUACACCGAUGAGUCACCGGUGGAAAAUUGAGUAUUAGUCCCGGUUGGAUAGCCUCGUAUAUCUUGAAUAUCCAACCGGGAGUAAUUUUUCGAGACUAAAGGUCCCCCUCUUUAGUCCCGGGUCACUCACCUGGGACUAAAGAUCAUCUUUAUAUUAGUC
rnacentral:lncRNA from 1 species